GAUGGGGUGAGACAGAGAAGUAUUGGGGUGAAAGGGUGUAUUAUGCAUGGGUAGGUUAGGUAGAUAGGUAGGUAGGUAGAUGGAGAGAUGGAGUGCUGGGCUGAGACAGAGAAUUGGGGUGGAAGGCUGUGUUAUGCAUGGGUGGGUUAGGGAGAAUGGAGGGAGUGUAGGGGGAGCGGCGGUAAACAAUGCAGGGCCGUGAGACGUACAAUGAGCGUCUGCCAGGUGUGAAAAGCAGGCAACGGAGCAAAGGCCGCAGCUGGACCGUAGUGAGUGACGCAGGGAGGCAGCUUAGCGCGGAGGGCGAGGACAGGUGAUGCGUGGACGCGUGGUGACGGGAGGCAGCAGGUAAGCAGGUAAGCGGAAGUACUAAAUAAUGGUAGCGGAGAGGCUCUGACCACAUACCUGGUGAUUUAGUUUAGGCCAAAUAGCACUAAAGGAAACAGGACGGAAAAAUUAUACACACUGAUAUAAUAACGGUAUAAUGGGCAGCCUCAAAUCUGACUUAACCCGGUAGCAGCAACGGGCCAAAUUUGUGGCUUUACCGUGUACCAGCGACGGGCCACAUUUCUGCCAUGAUAUAAGCCCCCAAAAAUAGAUGAUGCAUAAACUGAUCACAAAUGCGUUGAUAUAUAUUAUGAAAUGGUUUGCGUGAGUGAUGAUUUUUUCUCAUUUUUCUCGCUUAGAGGAGCCUUUAAGAAACAUGAUCCCUGCAGCUACCAGGUUAAAGCCACAAUGUAGACAAAGAUCAACAGCAGACACGUGAAAGAAACGAAAGUGAAGGUUUGAGGCGUCCGGAGAAGGGGCGUAAGGGACGAAGACAUUUUUUUCUAGCUCGCACUGGGAAAGACAACACAGGCUACACAUCUCGGGAAAAAAAACCCAAGUUGCAAGAGAAAAGCGACCCUCGGUACAACAACUACAAGGUCGCUUUUCCCCCUGCAGCUUGUUUCCUGUUCUUCCCGCGAUGUGUAUCCUGCCUCUCCCAGUGCAAACUAGAAAAAAAUGGCUUUGUCCCUUACACCCCUUCUCCGGACACCUCGUUUAGCAUCAAUGGUGUAGUAAGCAGGCGCCUAUCUAGCUAAGUAAAGGCUACGGCAUAAGAGCUAAGUAAAGGCUAUGGCAUAAGAGUUAAGUAAGGGCUAUGGCAUAAGAGUUAAGUAAGGGCUAUGGCAUAAGAGUUAAGUAAGGGCUAUGGCAUAAGAGUUAAGUAAAGGCUACGGCAUAAGAGUUAAGUAAGGGCUAUGGCAUAAGAGUUAAGUAAAGGCUACGGCAUAAGAGUUAAGUAAAGGCUACGGCAUAAGAGUUAAGUAAGGGCUAUGGCAUAAGAGUUAAGUAAAGGCUACGGCAUAAGAGUUAAGUAAAGGCUACGGCAUAAGGAAAAAGCAAAGACGUCACCAGUAUAAAUAGGCUCUACUUAACAGCGGGGCACAAUAAAAACAUGAACUGAAGCCUCAACAAGAGUAACAUUAGCAAGAGUUAACGAAUAUCUUCUGUCAUCUCUCCUACUGGUAAACUCUGCAACAGCCUCUCGUCUCCUCUAUUUCUUUCUUCCUGCGACUCACGGGGUAAUCUUUAGAAAACCCUGCAACUAAAUCUGAUCAUUUUCUUUCGAUAUCUCGGUUAUACUAAUAGAAUAGGAUUUAUAAGACACAGGAUACAGGACGAUAACAAAAAGGCUGACAACGCGCUGACCCAACACUAACUAAGCCGAGGAAGACGCAAAAUGAGAAAGAGAAAUUUUCGUAGGCAGUUUUUUCGUUAUAUUUUUUCAGCACUUAGUUUGCCGACUUGAUCGAACACAAACUCCACAGUAGCAAGAUCUUUUAAAUCGCACGACAGACGGCAGAGUGGCUGCACUAAUGGAGAGGUCUUGAGCAAGCAAUUAUACUUAUUAAGACCUUGGACUGCCACCUUGACCGAACACAAAAUCCACAGUAGCAGAAUCUUAUAUCACACGACAAAUGGCAGAGUAGCUGUACUAAUGGAAAGGUCCUGAGCAGGCACCAUAACAAGCCGUAGUGCGUGGCGUGGCGACAUGUCUGGCGGUGGCUCGGGGCCCAGAGACGCGGAAUAGCUACGGUUAGUGCUGCUUAUUAACUCGGGAACCAACACAGAACGACCGUGAGUAGGGGACGCCGGGAGUAAUAAUUAACAGGUGUAGCAAGCAAAACACGAAGGUAAGAGCUUAAGAUCAAGCAGACACGGAACUUUACACGCAGAAGAAGCAUAAAAGUGUGGAAAAAGAACUGAAUGUAAGGACGAUGUGCGAUAUCAACCAAUUAACCAACAGGAAAGAAAUAACAUCAAAACAAGAAGGCAAGAAUUUAAGAUCAAGCAGAUACGAAACUUUUAACACAUGAAGAAGCAUAAAAGCGAGGAAAAGAACUGAAUGUAAGGACGAUAUGAAACGCAAAACCAAUCAACUUAGCAAUAGGAAAGAAUACACAUCCGAAAGAGAAGGUAAGAAUUUAAGAUGAAGCAGACACCAAACUUUUAACACACGAAGAAGCAUAAAAGCGAGGAAAAGAAUUAAAUGUAAGGACGACGGGAUAAGCAAAACCAACUAACCAAUAGGAAAGAAAUAGCAUCAGAACAAGAGGGUAAAAAUUUAAGAUCAAGCAGAACCGAAACUUUUAACACACAAAGAAGCAGAAAAGCGAGGAAAAGAACUGAAUGUAAGGACGAUAUGAAACGCAAAACCAAUCAACUUAGCAAUAUAGGAAAGAAUACACAUCCGAAAGGGAAGGUAAGAAUUUAAGAUGAAGCAGACACCAAACUUUUAACACACGAAGAAGCAUAAAAGCGAGGAAAAGAAUUAAAUGUAAGGACGAUGGGAUAAGCAAAACCAACUAACCAAUAGGAAAGAAAUAGCAUCAGAACAAGAAGGUAAGAAUUUAAGAUCAAGGAUACGAAACUUUUAACAGGCGAUGCAAAAAGCGAAGAAAAAGAACUGGAUGAAUGUAAGGACGAUAUGAAACGCAAAACAAUAUGAUUUUUUUUAAGAAUACACAUCCGAGAAGGUAAGAAUUUAAGAUCAAGCAGACACCGAACUUUUAACACACGAAGAAGCAAGAAACGAGGAAGUUAACUGAAUGCAAGAACGAUGUGAUAAGCAAAACCAACUAACCAAUAGGAAAGAAAUAGCAUCAGAACAAGAAGGUAAGAUAAGACGAAGAGAACACGAAACUUGCCACACGAAGAAGCAUAAAAGCGAGGAAAAAGAACUGAAUGUAAAGACGAAGGGAUAAGCAAAACAAUGGAAAUAAGAGUACACUAAAAAAAAUAAGGUAAGAAUUUACGAUCAAGUAUACACAAAACUAAACACACGAGGAAGGAAAAGGCGAAGAAAAGUGAAUAUAGGAAUGAUGAGAAAAGCAAAACCAACCAAGAGCAAAGAAACAACACCCAAAGAGACUGAACAGCGAAGCAAAACAUCAGGGAACAACAACCGAACGUUCGAAGGCUGUGGCAAGCAGAGUGAAGCAACCAACCAGCCACUGCUAAGGUAACCAACCCGACGGAAGACAGGUGAACCGGUGACCAUGAUGGAUCGAGAAGAAACCAACAUGUGAAAGAAAGACGCGCGUGAGAGCAGGAACCAUGAAUUAAGAGAAAAUAAGAAAGAUCGCAGGAAAGACUAACAAAUUCACCCCAAGGAAGAAAGAUAAACAGGUGAUCAUGAUGGAUCGAGAAGAAACCAACAUGUGAAAGAAAGACACGCGUGAGAGCAAGAACCAUGAAUUAAGAGAAAAUAAGAAAGAUCGCAGGAAAGACUAACAAAUUCACCCCAAGGAAGAAAGAUAAACAGGUGAUCAUGAUGGAUGGAGAAGAAACCAACAUGUGAAAGAAAGACACGCGUGAGAGCAAGAACCAUGAAUUAAGAGAAAAUAAGAAAGAUCGCAGGAAAGACUAACAAAUUCACCCCACGGAAGAAAGAUAAACAGGUGAUCAUGAUGGAUGGAGAAGAAACUAACAUGUAAAAGAGACACGUAAGAGAGCAAGAGCCAUGAAUUAUAAGAGAAUAUAAGAAAGAUCGUAGGAAAAA